GAUGAAGAACGUAGCGAAAUGCGAUAAGUAAUGUGAAUUGCAGAAUUCAGUGAAUCAUCGAAUCUUUGAACGCACAUUGCGCCCGCCAGUAUUCUGGCGGGCAUGCCUGUUCGAGCGUCAUUUCAACCAUCAAGCCCCCGGCUUGUGUUGGGGACCCUGCGGCUGCCCGCAGGCCCUGAAAACCAGUGGCGGGCUCGCUGUCACUCCGAGCGUAGUAGCAUAUAUCUCGCUCAGGGCGUGCUGCGGGUUCCGGCCGUUAAAAGCCUUUUUUUACCCAAGGUUGACCUCGGAUCAGGUAGGAAGACCCGCUGAACUUAAGCAUAUCAAUAAGCGGAGGA
rnacentral:misc_RNA from 1 species